rnacentral:rRNA from 1 species
UACGUAGGGUGCAAGCGUUUAAUCGGAAUUACUGGGCGUAAAGCGUGCGCAGGCGGCUUUGCAAGACAGAUGUGAAAUCCCCGGGCUCAACCUGGGAACUGCAUUUGUGACUGCAAGGCUAGAGUACGGUAGAGGGGGAUGGAAUUCCGCGUGUAGCAGUGAAAUGCGUAGAUAUGCGGAGGAACACCGAUGGCGAAGGCAAUCCCCUGGACCUGUACUGACGCUCAUGCACGAAAGCGUGGGGAGCAAACAGG